rnacentral:lncRNA from 1 species
UUAUUAAAUGAGUUAACGCCACCGAAUCGCGUAAUAAAUGCCCUGUCUACCACGCCGAAAGCCUUCCUUCGAUAAAUGUCAACUGCAUUUUCACGCGGGAUAGAAGCGAGCAAGGAUAACACCGCCGGCCGGUCGGCAAGCCGGUGAAUGCUCUGGGCUCGGCGAAACUAGAUUCUCUGGGCCCCUGUAGAAUUAAGUAGAAGGGAGCGAUCCUAACAGGCGUUAAAAUAAGGGGUGCCAGCGGUAGCUCCGGGCCCGCAGGACCACAGGGGUUAGCAAGGAGCCCGGGGGCGGGGCUCGGGGGCGGGUCCGCUGGCGCCCGGAGCAGAGGCCACGCCCCUCCCGGGAGGGCUGGCAGCUCCAGCCAGGGAGCAGUUCCGGUGCCAAACCCCUGCCCUCCCCCGCUCCCCCGGAAGUGCUUGUCUAGGGUUCGGGCUGGAGAGAGGCCUUGUAGACACAGGCGCCGAGGCUCCGUCGGCUCCGAGCAGGGGGUCGGGUCGCGGGGAGAGUGAGGAGCUCCGCGGCUGCCACCCCGCGCCCCUCGCAGCGCCUUCGCGCCGUCGAAAUGGCUACCAAGAAGUAAAUGCCCAGACGUAAUGGUGAUGCAGGUGUCAUGAAGUAAGAUGCAGUAUAGCAUCCAUCCAGAUUAGUAAGUGACCAAAUCUCUCUCUUUUACCUAAACAGUUAUCUGUGCUGAAAACAUUUAAUACGAAUGUGGGCAUUAAAAGAGUCACUUACAUCUCUGUUUUACUGGAUAGUUCAGGUUGAUUCUACAAAAUGUGUCUGCUAUAUUUUCUUAAAAGAACCGUGCAUGUAGUAUAUUGAAUUACAGCUUUAGAAAAAUGUACAGAGUUACCUCUGCCCACUACAGCUUUUCUUACUAUUUUUGGAUAUCUAUCUUUAUCCCAGUCUUUGUUUUUGAUAGUUUAAUGAUAUAGUUUGAUCAUAGUGUUAUACAGACGGACUAUGCUUCUUAUCUGGGUGUGAUCCCACAUGCCCAAAGCCCAAACGCUGGAAUGGCUGAGGCAGGAGGAUUGUGUAUCUAAGACCACUUUGGAUUAUGUAGUGAGUUCAAGGCCAUCUUGGGAUCCAGAGAGUCUCAGUCUCAAAUAAAUGACAAAAAAAU